rnacentral:rRNA from 1 species
CAGUAGCCGCGGUAAUACGGAGGGUGCAAGCGUUAUCCGGAUUCACUGGGUUUAAAGGGUGCGUAGGCGGAUCUGUAAGUCAGUGGUGAACUCUCCAGGCUUAACCUGGAAACUGCCGUUGAUACUAUAGGUCUUGAAUUUUGUGGAGGUUAGCGGAAUAUGUCAUGUAGCGGUGAAAUGCAUAGAUAUGACAUAGAACACCAAUUGCGAAGGCAGCUGGCUACACAACUAUUGACGCUGAGGCACGAAAGCGUGGGGAUUAAACAGGAUUAGAGACCCCAGUAGUCCCUGUCUCUUAUAC